rnacentral:rRNA from 1 species
GAAGGGACCUAGCGUAAUUCGGAAUUACUGGGCGUAAAGCKCGCGUAGGCGGUUAAGUAAGUUAAUUGUGAAAGCCCGAAGCUCAACUUCGGAAUUGCAAUUAAAACUACUUAGCUAGAGUUUAUCAGAGGAAAGCGGAAUACAUAGUGUAGAGGUGAAAUUCGUAGAUAUUAUGUAGAACACCAGUUGCCGAAGGCCGCUUUCUGGGAUAACACUGACGCUGAGGUGCGAAAGUAUGGGUAGC